GGUGGGAUGCCCUCAAAGUUGGUGGGGUCAGAUUUCCUCCUCCCAUAAAGUCUAAGAGCUGUGGUCUCUGGUGAUCCUGAGUGGGCCUGUCUUCUCCCUAUCACUGGCUAAAGAAACUACAAGGGCAUCAGAAAGUGUAGACAGCCUUGCUCCAAAUUCAGCAUCACCACUCUUCUGCCUGCUUACCAUGGUAGCCCAUGAAAACAGGUGCUAGGCCAGCUGGACCACUAAAAUCAAAUAAUGGGUAUCUUUUCAUCAUUCACAUGAGAAUAAAACAUAACCUGAUAGCCAGAAUUUUCCCAAUUAAAAUUUUCUGCCAUCAAAUUUUCUUAAGCCUUUGAUGCCUGCUUCAAUUUAUUUGCUACUGUACCCUACGAAUACAACAACAAACAGACGAACAAAACGUAGCAGCAGAACCCAGGAGCAAGUGAGCAGGCUAAGGGUAGCAGUCGGCCAGGACCCCUGGGUCCAGCUCAUUUUCUCUCCUCUCAGCCUUGUUGUUUAUCCUGGAAGCCCCUUGUCAGGGUCCAAAUGCUACUGAUAUUUUGUGUCAACACAAUCUCUCGCGGCUGAAGGGAAGCAAGACAGGAAGGGGAGACCAAGGGCUCUGUAAGCAGGCCCUGAAUUCUCCUUUUCGUCCCCAUACCGCCAAGCGAGUUUCUGGAAUAGAGUUGGUACUUAAUAAAUGUUUGCUGAUUGAUCUUUGGAAUGUUACCCCUGCUUCUAACACUAACCCUACCAAGACUCUCCAUGCUGAGUGAGCUGGGGCAGUCAGUGCAGGCAAAGUUCCCAGUCCUGGAGUUUACAUUCCCAGAUGGUUGACUCCCGGCAGCCUCUCCCAAUGGGACAAGGAAAGUGGAGCCUUUUGGGAAAUGUGGACCUCAGAGCCCUGCCUUGGUACUGAUGAUUCAGAACAUUCUUGUUCUAAAACAGGUGGGCUGGAAGGAAAACUCCUGGUUGAUCUCAGCUCUGGGCCCACCAUCUACCAGCUCCUCUCUGCCUGUGAGUCUUUCAAAGAGAUCAUUGCCAUCAGUUACCCAGACAGAACUGCCAACAGCUGGAGAAGUGGCUAAAGAAGACGCCAGGGGCAUUUGACUGGUCUCGGUGGUGAAAUAUGUGCGUGAGCUUGAGGGGAACAGGGGCACCAGGAUUUUCUCUGGCCCAAGGAAUGUGACUGCAUCUGUGCGUGGUACUACAAACCUCCUGUGCCAUUCUCUGAGGGCUCUCUCUUCCCUCCCCUGCUGGCUGCAUGCAGAGAAUCCAGCGGAGGACCCUGAGGCCCUAGGAAAUGACAGAGCUACACAGUAGAAGCCUGACCAUCUGGAGUAGUACUCUGCCCUUGACCCCCACUACACUGGACCGUGAUGUGAACCAAAAAUAAACAUUUGUUUUGUUAAGCCACUGA